UACGGAGGGUGCAAGCGUUAUCCGGAAUCAUUGGGUUUAAAGGGUCCGCAGGCGGAUUUAUAAGUCAGUGGUGAAAGCCCGUCGCUUAACGACGGAACUGCCAUUGAUACUGUAAGUCUUGAAUUCGAUCGAAGUGGGCGGAAUAUGACAUGUAGCGGUGAAAUACUUAGAUAUGUCAUAGAACACCGAUAGCGAAGGCAGCUCACUAGGUCUGGAUUGACGCUCAGGGACGAAAGCGUGGGAGCAAACAGG
rnacentral:rRNA from 1 species